CUUGCUGAAUAUUAUUCUGCAUAAAAAUUUAGAAAGCAGCAGGUUAAGGGUGAAUGUGUAGUGAGCACCCCCUGCUGGCAAAGCUGCGUACGAGCCGAUGAGUGAAAGGGGGUGGAGAGGAUUGUAUUGCAGACCUCUUGACACAACAGCAAACAUAUUCCAUGGAACAAGAACUUUUCUAAAGAAGCGUUCUAUACUCAGAACUCAGAAAAUAGGAUGUGAGUGAAUCAUGAUAUAUACAUUAAUCUGAGAGAGUGGACACAUACCUGGGAGUAGUAUUAAAAUGAACAAUUAGGAAGUCAUGGUGAAGAGAUCAGCUGCUCAAAAAACAGACAGAAGACACUUAUCCAAGAUGUGCAAAUCAAGUUUCCUAUAAGACCACGAAUAAAACAACAUUUAAGAAACAUUUCCUGCUGUUUGCUUAACAUGAAUCUGUCACCACACAGUUGAUAUACUUGGAACUAAAG